GUCCACGCCCUAAACGAUGUCAACUAGUUGUUCGGUGAGGAGACUCAUUGAGUAACGCAGCUAACGCGUGAAGUUGACCGCCUGGGGAGUACGGCCGCAAGGUUAAAACUCAAAGGAAUUGACGGGGACCCGCACAAGCGGUGGAUGAUGUGGAUUAAUUCGAUGCAACGCGAAAAACCUUACCUACCCUUGACAUGUCAGGAAUCCUUGAGAGAUUGAGGAGUGCCCGAAAGGGAACCUGAACACAGGUGCUGCAUGGCU
rnacentral:rRNA from 1 species